rnacentral:rRNA from 1 species
GACGAACGCUGGCGGCGUGCUUAACACAUGCAAGUCGAACGAAGAGCGACGGAAGCUUGCUUCUAUCAAUCUUAGUGGCGGACGGGUGAGUAACGCGUAAUCAACCUGCCCUUCAGAGGGGGACAACAGUUGGAAACGACUGCUAAUACCGCAUACGAUCUAAUCUCGGCAUCGAGGAUGGAUGAAAGGUGGCCUCUACAUGUAAGCUAUCACUGAAGGAGGGGAUUGCGUCUGAUUAGCUAGUUGGAGGGGUAACGGCCCACCAAGGCGAUGAUCAGUAGCCGGUCUGAGAGGAUGAACGGCCACAUUGGGACUGAGACACGGCCCAGACUCCUACGGGAGGCAGCAGUGGGGAAUCUUCCGCAAUGGACGAAAGUCUGACGGAGCAACGCCGCGUGAGUGAUGACGGCCUUCGGGUUGUAAAGCUCUGUUAAUCGGGACGAAAGGCCUUCUUGCGAAUAGGGAGAAGGAUUGACGGUACCGGAAUAGAAAGCCACGGCUAACUACGUG